GUACCAGACUCCUACGGGAGGCAGCAGUGGGGAAUAUUGCACAAUGGGGGAAACCCUGAUGCAGCGACGCCGCGUGAGUGAAGAAGUAUUUCGGUAUGUAAAGCUCUAUCAGCAGGGAAGAAGAAAGACGGUACCUGACUAAGAAGCCCCGGCUAACUACGUGCCAGCAGCCGCGGUAAUACGUAGGGGGCAAGCGUUAUCCGGAUUUACUGGGUGUAAAGGGAGCGUAGACGGAGAAGCAAGUCUGAAGUGAAAGCCCGUGGCUUAACCACGGGACUGCUUUGGAAACUGUUUGACCAGAGUGCUGGAGAGGUAAGUGGAAUUCCUAGUGUAGCGGUGAAAUGCGUAGAUAUUAGGAGGAACACCAGUGGCGAAGGCGGCUUACUGGACAGUAACUGACGUUGAGGCUCGAAAGCGUGGGGAGCAAACAGGAUUAGAUACCCGAGUACG
rnacentral:rRNA from 1 species